ACUGCGAUAGCUUAGCUGGUAGAGCAACCCCGAUGUACGCAGAAGGCCGCCGGUUCAGUUCCGGCUCGCAGUG
rnacentral:tRNA from 1 species